GGCGACGAUGCGUAGCCGACCUGAGAGGGUGAUCGGCCACACUGGGACUGAGACACGGCCCAGACUCCUACGGGAGGCAGCAGUAGGGAAUCUUCCGCAAUGGACGAAAGUCUGACGGAGCAACGCCGCGUGAGUGAUGAAGGUUUUCGGAUCGUAAAGCUCUGUUGCCAGGGAAGAACGCCUAGGAGAGUAACUGCUCCUAGGGUGACGGUACCUGAGAAGAAAGCCCCGGCUAACUACGUGCCAGCAGCCGCGGUAAUACGUAGGGGGCGAGCGUUGUCCGGAAUUAUUGGGCGUAAAGCGCGCGCAGGCGGCAAUGUAAGUUGGGUGUUUAAACCUAGGGCUCAACCUUGGGUCGCAUCCAAAACUGCAUAGCUUGAGUACAGAAGAGGAAAGUGGAAUUCCACGUGUAGCGGUGA
rnacentral:rRNA from 4 species